rnacentral:piRNA from 2 species
UAAGAGGCUGUCUUUGUCACUGUAA